rnacentral:rRNA from 1 species
CCGUGCCCAAGAGACUGGGAUAACACCUGGAAACAGAUGCUAAUACCGGAUAACAACACUAGACGCAUGUCUAGAGUUUAAAAGAUGGUUCUGCUAUCACUCUUGGAUGGACCUGCGGUGCAUUAGCUAGUUGGUAAGGUAACGGCUUACCGAGGCAAUGAUGCAUAGCCGAGUUGAGAGACUGAUCGGCCACAUUGGGACUGAGACACGGCCCAA